rnacentral:rRNA from 1 species
AUUGAACGCUGGCGGCAUGCUUUACACAUGCAAGUCGAACGGUAACGCGGGGCAACCUGGCGACGAGUGGCGAACGGGUGAGUAAUACAUCGGAACGUGCCCAGUAGUGGGGGAUAGCCCGGCGAAAGCCGGAUUAAUACCGCAUACGACCUACGGGUGAAAGCGGGGGAUCGCAAGACCUCGCGCUAUUGGAGCGGCCGAUGUCAGAUUAGCUAGUUGGUGGGGUAAAAGCCUACCAAGGCGACGAUCUGUAGCUGGUCUGAGAGGACGACCAGCCACACUGGGACUGAGACACGGCCCAGACUCCUACGGGAGGCAGCAGUGGGGAAUUUUGGACAAUGGGGGCAACCCUGAUCCAGCCAUGCCGCGUGCGGGAAGAAGGGCCUUCGGGUUGUAACGCUUUGUCAGGGAAGAAACGGUACGUGCGCUAAUACCGCGGACUAAUGACGGUACCUGAAGAAUAAGACACCGGCUAACUACGUGCCAGCAGCCGCGGUAAU